rnacentral:lncRNA from 1 species
UUUUAAAACUGUAAGCCAUAGAAUUUACUAUUUACACCUACUUUAGACAUUUAUUCUGCUUACAAUAUCACAGGCAUGGAAUGAAUUCUAUCUGAUAGUGCUAAUACAUAAAGGUGCGGGACAAAGAAGGAAAAUACUUAGUGUUACAAAAUAUGGAUCGUAGAAAAGAAACCCACUCCACAAGUGUGGCAUCUGUUUAGAAUGUUUGGACAUGCUUUCUUCAAAAUUUCUGGAAAAGGUUCUAAAAUUGGUAGUAGGAAAGGACAAAUGAGCAGGUGCAAAUUCUCCUCUGUGCAACAACAGUUAUUGAAUAUACCCCAUGACUGACCAGCUACAUAAAACCCACAGAGUUUUGUUAAAGUGCCAUGGGCUGACAGCAUAACAAAAUAGAAGGUGUAAAUAGAAAAUUUCUUUUUUUCCUUUUUUAAAACAAGAGUUCACUGAGAAUCAGCAAUAAUAGAAUAUGCUGUAUAAACUAUUCUCUACAAAGGUUGAUCAGCAUUAUUUACAAUUGGUACAUUGAUACAAAAGAAGGCAUACAAGUUAUCCAGGUCGCUUUUUUUUUAUGGCUGACAGGUCUAUGCAUUGCGUUACGCUUUAACAACCAGAGCUUUCGAGCCUCUAUGGCGACAAGUCACAAGAUCUUCAGGCAGAUGCUUUAUAGGCUGGUCCAGUUGAACUCCAUCCAAACAAACUGAAAGAAAACCUUUUAUUUGCAUUCCAUUUUUCAAGCUGUGAGUUUUGAAUACAUCAUUAUAAAGUAAACCUGUAGCUGACUGUGAAGGAAGAAACACCGUGGGUUUUCCCUUUUUGCUCAGUUUCCAGAAAUGUCCUCACCUUGGUCAGAGCCAGUCUUUCACCAAGUAAGCAGCAUUCAGUGGGGAGCCUCUUAAUUCCAGCUUGCAAUUCAAGAUGUAGAGAGCUAAAAUGUUUAAAAUCCAUUGAAUUGCUCCUUUAGUCCCUGUCGAGACAUUAUUUCUCAGAAGCAGCCACUUAAUCUCUCAACCUUUGUUUUCCCUCUNNNNNNNNNNNNNNNNNNNNNNNNNNNNNNNNNNNNNNNNNNNNNNNNNNNNNNNGUUUUCACUCCUGCAAGUAUUACAACUCAAAAUAAAUUAUUUAAAAAAAAAAACAACAGACUUCUAAAACUGAACGAGACAAAAAUUGUGCAAAAAUAACAAAGAUAUGUACAUACUUUUCAGUCUGAAGAAAUGUACAAUAAAAACAUAAUUCAAAGAACAUUUUAAAAAUAUAAACAUUGCUUCAACUUUCCUAAGUUUCAUAUUGUUUCUG